rnacentral:rRNA from 1 species
UAGUCCACGCCGUAAACGAUGAGAACUAGAUGUCGGGAGGAUCAGCCUCUCGGUGUCGCAGUUAACGCAUUAAGUUCUCCGCCUGGGGAGUACGCCGGCAACGGUAAAACUCAAAGGAAUUGACGGGGACCCGCACAAGCGGUGGAGCAUGUGGUUUAAUUCGAUGCAACGCGAAGAACCUUACCUGCCCUUGACAUACUCGGAACUUUCCAGAGAUGGAUUGGUGCCUUCGGGAACCGAGAUACAGGUGCUGCAUGGCUGUCGUCAGCUCGUGUCGUGAGAUGUUGGGUUAAGUCCCGCAACGAGCGCAACCCUUGUCCUUAGUUGCCAGCAUUUCGGAUGGGAACUCUAAGGAGACCGCCGGUGACAAACCGGGAGGAAGGUGGGGACGACGUCAAGUCAUCAUGGCCCUUAUGGGGCAGGGGCUACACACGUGCUACAAUGGGUUGGUACAGAGGGGUUGCCAAGCCGCAAGGGUGGGAGCUAAUCCCAGAAA